GACGAACGCUGGCGGCGUGCUUAACACAUGCGAGUCGAACGGAAAGGCCCUGCUUUUGUGGGGUGCUCGAGUGGCGAACGGGUGAGUAACACGUGAGUAACCUGCCCUUGACUUUUGGAUAACUUCAGGAAACUGGGGCUAAUACCGGAUAGGAGCUCCUGCUGCAUGGUGGGGGUUGGAAAGUUUCGGCGGUUGGGGAUGGACUCGCGGCUUAUCAGCUUGUUGGUGGGGUAGUGGCUUACCAAGGCUUUGACGGGUAGCCGGCCUGAGAGGGUGACCGGCCACAUUGGGACUGAGAUACGGCCCAGACUCCUACGGGAGGCAGCAGUGGGGAAUAUUGCACAAUGGGCGGAAGCCUGAUGCAGCAACGCCGCGUGCGGGAUGACGGCCUUCGGGUUGUAAACCGCUUUCGCCUGUGACGAAGCGUGAGUGACGGUAAUGGGUAAAGAAGCACCGGCUAACUACGUG
rnacentral:rRNA from 1 species